UCUGAUCAACUGUCCCUUGCAAGGUACUCGGAUUACACCGUGGCAGCCAGAUGUCUGACCAGAUAUGUGUGAGGCUUUUCAGCGGCACCUCGGCUACGCUCUGCUUUAAGAUGCACAAUGAAAGUGUCAAGCUGCCUCUCUCUUCCCUCUCCACCACCCUCACAACCACGGAAACGGCUUGCCUGCAGUCUGGAGAACACGUCCUCUCCUCUGCAACGCAGGACCUGUCCCUGGGUAGGAAGACAGGGAAGACCCAGAGUGACAACAUGGAACGUAAAGCCUUGACACUCA